UUUCCGUAGGUGAACCUGCGGAAGGAUCAUUAUCCAUCUCAAACCAGGUGCGGUCCCGGCCCCCGGGGGCUUGCUCCCGGGUGGUAGGGGUAACACCCUCACGCGCCGCCUGCCUGUACCCUCUUUUUACGAGCACCUUUCGUUCUCCUUCGGCGGGGCAACCUGCCGCUGGAACCAAAACAAAACCUUUUUUGCAUCUAGCAUUACCUGUUCUGAUACAAAUAAUCGUUAAAACUUUCAACAAUGGAUCUCUUGGCUCUG
rnacentral:misc_RNA from 1 species